CCUACGGGAGGCAGCAGUGAGGAAUAUUGGUCAAUGGGCGAGAGCCUGAACCAGCCAAGUCGCGUGAGGGAAGACGGUCCUAUGGAUUGUAAACCUCUUUUGCCGGGGAGCAAAAAGCGGUACGUGUACCGCAUCGAGAGUACCCGGCGAACAAGCAUCGGCUAACUCCGUGCCAGCAGCCGCGGUAAUACGGAGGAUGCGAGCGUUAUCCGGAUUUAUUGGGUUUAAAGGGUGCGCAGGCGGCGAGUUAAGUCAGCGGUAAAAUUUCGGGGCUCAACCCCGACAAGCCGUUGAAACUGGCGUGCUAGAGGGGGCGAGAAGUAUGCGGAAUGCGUGGUGUAGCGGUGAAAUGCAUAGAUAUCACGCAGAACUCCGAUUGCGAAGGCAGCAUACCGGCGCCCAACUGACGCUCAGGCACGAAAGCGUGGGUAUCGAACAGGAUUAGAUACCCCAGUAGUC
rnacentral:rRNA from 1 species